CCUACGGGAGGCAGCAGUGGGGAAUCUUGGACAAUGGGCGAAAGCCUGAUCCAGCGACGCCGCGUGGGGGAUGAAGCCCUUCGGGGUGUAAACCCCUGUUGCGAGGGAGGAAUAAGGCCUGGAGGAAAUGCCAGGCCGAUGACUGUACCUCGCGAGGAAGCCCCGGCUAACUACGUGCCAGCAGCCGCGGUAAUACGUAGGGGGCGAGCGUUACCCGGAUUCACUGGGCGUAAAGCGGGUGUAGGCGGCUCGGUAAGUCGGGUGUGAAAUCCCACAGCUCAUCUGUGGAAUUGCGCCCGAAACUGCUGAGCUUGGGGCCGGUAGAGGGAGACGGAACUGCCGGUGUAGGGGUGAAAUCCGUAGAUAUCGGCAGGAACGCCGGUGGGGAAGCCGGUCUCCUGGGCCGCGCCCGACGCUGAGACCCGAAAGCUAGGGGAGCAAACC
rnacentral:rRNA from 1 species